UUCGCAAUGCCCGAAAGGGUGACGAAGCGACGCCGCGUGUGGGAAGAAGGCCUUCGGGUUGUAAACCACUGUCGGGAGUUAAGAAAUGCAAGGAUAUUAAUAGUGUCUUUGUUUGACUAAGGCUCCGGAGGAAGCCACGGCUAACUCUGUGCCUGCAGCCGCGGUAAUACAGAGGCGGCAAGCGUUGUUCGGAAUUAUUGGGCGUAAAGAGCACGUAGGCGGCUAUGUAAGUCGGUUGUGAAAGCCUUCCGCUCAACGGAAGAACAGCAUCCGAUACUACAUGGCUUGAGUGCGGGAGGGGAGAGUGGAACUUCUGGUGGAGCGGUGAAAUGCGUAGAUAUCAGAAGGAACGCCGGCGGCGAAAGCGGCUCUCUGGCCCAUAACUGACGCUGAGUGUGCGAAAGCUAGGGGAGCAAACGGGAUUAGAUACCCCGGUAGUCCUAGCCGUAAACGAUGGGCACUAAGUAGAGGGGUUUU
rnacentral:rRNA from 1 species